AUUUUGGUAAGCACGUCAAGUAGAAAAUUGUCAACAUUGACUCCGCUAAGAAACUUCAAAUCCAUGAAUCAUGAGACCAAAACCAACAUUCAAACUCGGAAAGCGAAGCAAGCGUAUCAAGACGAGACGAGACAGACAUCAGCAACACGAAUAUCCAACGUGGGUGUCAUCUUGGAUCAAAACCGAAGAUGAAUUAUUUAAUAGAGUGAAAUAUGAACAUAAAAUGCGUUGUGUUUACUCAUCACACUGUCCACAAUGAAACACAUUUUUGCAAACUAAAUCUCCACCAAAGGCGGGCUAGUGCGAGAAGAAACGAGAGCAAUUUUAUACCUACUUAUAGACUUGGACUCGACAUGAAAGAAAUUUAAUCAUCAGAUACCCCCUUUCUGUAAAAUUCCUUAUUUUAGAAGGAUUGCAAUCAAGAAGCUGGACUUGAGAUAACACAAAAAGUUAAAUAUAUAAGUAUUCAUGCGCAUUAUGUGUGUUUUAAUCAAUACCAGGAUUAAAUUUAAUGGAAGUGCUGAAUAUUUACUUCAGUCAAAUAAAUGUUAAAGUUAGGUGUUUUUGUCGCCUUUGUAAAUCAGGGACCGUAUUCCCCAACCGAUUCUUAGACUUAAGAAUAAAGAAUAGACUUAGAACCAAGAAAAAUGUGUUCAGUGUUUGAAUAUAUACAGGCCUCCACUGGUGAUUAUGUCAUUAACAAAAUGUUCUUUAUGAAGAAUAAUAUAUAUAGAAAUGUUUACCGCAGAGUUUGACUCAAAAUUAAAGAAAUUAUUGAAUAUUCUAAUUUAAAGAAUUUUCUUUAUUCUUAGACUUAAGUCUAAGAAUUGUUUGGUGAAUACGGGCCCAGAUAACAAUUGCUUGCAAAUAAUUAAUUAAAGCUUUGACCAGCAUUGAGUCAAGCGUUGUUUUUAUAACUCUUAAAAUUUCUAAACCUGUACUUUGAUAUAACGCAAAUGCUCAUUUGCCUUUGCUUUUUUCUUAAGAUUUGCUCCAUGCUGUUAACGAGUAACGAAGAUUUGCCCCCUCUUUGUGAUUAUCAAUUACAUGGAUUUUGCAUACAUUGAA